rnacentral:rRNA from 1 species
UACGUAGGGUGCGAGCGUUAAUCGGAAUUACUGGGCGUAAAGCGUGCGUAGGCGGUUCUCCAAGUCCGUUGUGAAAGCCCCGGGCUCAACCUGGGAAUGGCAGUGGAUACUGGAUAGCUAGAGUGUGAUAGAGGAUGGUGGAAUUCCCGGUGUAGCGGUGAAAUGCGUAGAGAUCGGGAGGAACAUCAGUGGCGAAGGCGGCCAUCUGGAUCAACACUGACGCUGAGGCACGAAAGCGUGGGGAGCAAACAGG